CCUACGGGUGGCAGCAGUGGGGGAUAUUGCACAAUGGGGGAAACCCUGAUGCAGCGACGCCGCGUGAGUGAAGAAGGAUUUCGGAAUGUAAAGCCCUAUCAGCAGGGAAGAAAAGGACAGUACCUGACCAAGAAGCCCCGGCUAACGACGUGCCAGCAGCCGCGGUAAUACGGAGGGGGCAAGCGUUAGCCGGAUUUACUGGGUGUAAAGGGCGCGUAGCCGGUUUUGUAAGUCUGGAGUGAAAGCCCGGGGCCCAACCCCGGGACUGCUUGGGAAACUGUGUAACGGGAGUACAGGAGGGGCAGUCGGACUUCCUGUUGUAGCGGUUCACUCCGUAGAUAUCAG
rnacentral:rRNA from 1 species